rnacentral:rRNA from 1 species
UGAUAAUAUAUUGAAGGGCUGCAGUAAUUUGACUGUACAAAGGUAGCAUAAUCAUUAGUCUUUUAAUUGAAGACUUGUAUGAAGGAUUUGAUAAAAUAUAAACUGUCUCUAAUUUAUAUUUAAAAUUUAAUUUUUUAGUUAAAAAGCUAAAAUAAAUUUAAAAGACGAGAAGACCCUAUAGAGUUUUAUAAUUUAUAAUUUAAAAUAUUUAUAUAAAAUUUUAAUAUAAUAAAUUUUAAAUUAUUUUGUUGGGGUGAUAAAAAAAUUUAUAAAACUUUUUUUUUUAGUUAACAUAAAUAAUUGAAUAUAUGAUCCUAAAUAAAGAUUAAAAGAAAAAAUUACCUUAGGGAUAACAGCGUAAUUUUUUUUUUUAGUACAAAUAAAAAAAAAAGUUUGCGACCUCGAUGUUGGAUUAAGAUAAAAUUUAAAUGCAAAAGUUAAAAUUU